rnacentral:rRNA from 1 species
UACAGAGGGUGCGAGCGUUGUUCGGAAUUACUGGGCGUAAAGCGCGCGCAGGCGGCUCUUUAAGUCUGACGGUGAAAUGCCGGGGCUCAACCCCGUGCCCGCCGCGGAUACUGGAGAGCUGGAGACACGUAGAGGCAAGCGGAAUUCCGGGUGUAGCGGUGGAAUGCGUAGAGAUCAGGAGGAACACCGAUGGCGAAGGCAGCACUCUGGCCGAAUACUGACGCUGAAGCGCGAAAGCUGGGGGAGCGAACGGG